GAUAACUUAAAGAAAUAUUUACUAAUCGAGCUCAUAUUUAAUAUAUGUGUAUACCCGAAUGGUCCAGCUUAUAAAGUGACCGCCUUAUAAUUUUUAAACAAUUAACAAAUAUUGUUGCUUCUUCAGAUGGAGCAGAAGAAGAAGGCGGAGAAGUGGAAGCUUGGCAAUGGAAGAAACGUCGACAAGUCGUUGCAAAAAUAUGACCAAAACUAUAUGCAAAUGAUGCUGCUGCCAGCCAGUCAGGCAAGACGCAGCCACUCAACUUGCCAGUCAAAUUUCCUUAACAAGCUUUUGGCCUAAUCAAAUAGCAUCGCCCCAAAAACCCGAAACCCUUUGGCGACUGCUCGACCCCAAAAAACCGAAAACCGAGAACCGAAAACCGUCUUGUAACGCCGCUUGACAGGCAAUUGUCUUAUGUGGUAUGCUAAUUUUUUAUGUGGCUCUUUCCAUCGUUAUGGCCUCUAUGCACUUUUGUGCGAGUGUAUAUGUAUGUGUGUAUUGCCUUUUGCUUCUGUGUGCUGCCAGCCGGCAAAAUUGCUGAAAAUUAAAACUAUAAACUAUCUCUUUUUGAAGCCCUGUGGGCAAUGUCGUUGGGUUAUUGCCUUCAUAAUGGAGUUGCAUACAAUAUGUACCUAAAAUUUUGCUGGCGAGGAAAUUGAAACUUUGCUACUAUUUUGCAUAAUUUUCGUAUGGCAGAGCAAAAAGGAGACAGCAAUCCUUAAGCAGAAGCAUUCAUAUGCCACUGCCACUGCCGCUGCCACAGACACUGCCACUGCCACGAAGUGCAUACAAUUGAAGUUGAGGCAGACAAGAAGAAUGUCGACGCCUUGCCAAGAGGAAAUGUCGCUGCGGUUGUGUGGCAAAGCCAACUAAAUUUAGUAUUUACUUACCACAUCCUUUACAGCUUGAGCUCGGUUCGGCUUCUCUUGGCUCGCAUUGGCUUGUCUAGGCCCGAUUGCUGCCGGCAUUUGCAUAUGUACAAUAUGCCAAGUGUAUCCAUCAGUUUAUUUCGUCAGUUCGCCCAUGUAUAUUGUGGGCUGCAGCAACAACCUUGUCAACCUGGUUAAAAGAAAACAUUUCCGCUUACAAUCAACCGAUUUUUCCUAGUUCAUUCACCUUGCCAAAUUGUCUCCAGAAACUGAAUCCACGAUGCCUAGUGUAAUCCCAUUAGCAGCUGCUCUUGGCGCCUGUUUUAAGUAGCUUGGUCAUUUAUAUGGAUAAGGAGGAAGAAGUGUAGUAAGACAUUUGCAGAUCUUGCGGUCUACGGAAAAUGCAUCGGCUGACUGCCUGCCAAAAAUGCACUCGCUCAGAUGAGUAACUGGCUGAAGGCAAGCUGUGAAGAUAGAUGCCCUGGCAGCAAAGUCAUAAAAAAUUGGACGUGAAUUAAUUACAAGCUUAUGUUAUAUGUUUAUAUAGAAAAUCUGCUUACAAAUCAGCGCUCAUAAGUCAAUAUGCCAAAUGCCAGAAAUGCCCAAAAUUCGAAUUGUCCGACAGUCGCCAGUCGGCGAUAAAGUAUUUAUAGUCCUUUUUCUAGCUGGGGUCUGGGCCACCCGUCGAGUGAUGUGCUCUGGAAUUAAUUGAAAGGCUUUUCCUUUGGCUCCCAGUGA